AUAAAGAUAAUUAUGAGAAAAUAUGGAAUGAAAUUAAAAGAAAUCUAGAAAUCUGGGGAAGGAUGAAUUUUCCUGUUAAGGAAAAUUGCAGCAAUAAAGAUGAGUGCUUUGCCAAAGAUACUAUUUCUAUUUCAGAUGAUCCCGGUGAUAUAUAAUAAUAUAUCCUUCAAAAAUAUAUUUCAAAAUUUAUCUGGAAUGGGAAAAGACCACGGAUAAGACAUAAGAUACUAACAGACUUAAGAGAUAGAGGAGGCUUUUCUCCUCCAUAUGUGAAAUUGUAUUUUGAAGCAGCAUGUCUUGUUUGGAUACGGGAUUGGAUAAAAUUGGAAAAAGAAGAAGAGUUAGAACUAGAAGGACACGACAAUAGAUUUGGCUGGUACUCAUAUUUAUGGUAUGGGAAAGGGAAAACACAUAAAGGCUUUUCAAACCGUAUAAUAAGAAAGUCAUUAAUAAGAGUGUGGGAAAAUACAAAGAUCUGUUAGAGUGGAAAAUACCAUGAGAGUUGUUAACAGAAGAAGAAGGUAAACUCAAACUAAAAGAGUAUGAUGAGCUGAAAGACUAUUUACAAAGUUGGUUACACCAUAGGCAAUUAAAUGAAAUUUUUAAGGAAGACAAUAAAAAGGGGUUUAGUUAUACAAUCUCCAGAUUUCAAAAAGAAAUAGUGGAAGAGAACAUUAAAUUGUUUUAAAAAUGAUAUAGUAUUUUAUUAGAGUGAGAAACCAAAGAUGAGGAGGUUAAAUCAGUUAUCAUUAAAUGGGCUCAGGAUGUGGGACACAACAUCCAAUUUGAAGUUGGGGGAAAUUAUGGAAAGUUGAUAUAAAAUUCACAGAUUGCAUGCUAUUAAGAGAGAAUUACAUGAAAAUGAUGUAUAGAAGGUAUAUCACACCAGUGAAAAUGGCAAAGAUGUUUAGGAAAGAAAAUAACAAAUGUUGGAGAUGUAAGGAAAAGGAAGGAACAUUUUAUCAUAUGUGGUGGAAAUGCAAAUGCAUUAAAAAUAUUGGGAAAUGAUAUACAAUGAAUUAAAAAAAAUGUUUAAAAUGAAUUUUGUCAAACACCCUGAAGCCUUUUUGUUAGGUAUCUCAAAUCAAGAGCUACCAAAAGAAAAAUGGACAUUAUUUAUGUAUGCUACAACAGCGGCAAGAAUCUUGCACAAUAUUGGAAGAUGGAAGAAAUACUAUCAAAGGAACAAUGGCAAGAAAAACUGAUGAACUACGCAGAAUUGACUAAGCUAACAGACAAACUAUGAGAGGACAAAAAGGACUUAAAAAGAGUCUGGGAAGCAUUUACAGUUUAUUUGCAGAAACAACAGAAUGGACUGGAUUCACUGGCAGGAUUUGAAUAAACUUUCACAACUUCAUUUGAGUAACAGGUAUUUUAGAGAAAUGAUAAGGGAUUUUAUUUUUGUGUAGGAAAAGCAGAAUACGAUAAAUAAAACUAAAUAACUCAGAAGAGGGGGAGUUGAGGGAAGUCCAGAGGAGGGGAGGGAGAAUAAUCGUAAAUAAUAUGAUGAAUGAGAUUUGUAUCAUUAAUUGUUAUAAAAUUCAAUAAUUUUUUUUUAAAAAAGAAAGCAGUCUUUUGCUGUCAAGAAAAUAAACCUUUGCAAUAUGCCAGAGUAAUAUAUUUCACAAGGCAAAUAUCCUACAGGAGCAUAACUACUUGGGUGUUACAUAUGUUUUCAGUUUGUGCUGAGCCAGCCAAGCUAAAGAAAUAGUCCUAAUUGGAAAAUGCAUUUUGUUUACUUAAAGCAACUGCAGUAGCCAGACUCAGAUUAUUUAAAUGGUUCCUAUCAAUAAAUUUCCACACCUUU